GAUGAACGCUGGCGGCGUGCUUAACACAUGCAAGUCGAACGGUGAAGCAGGAGCUUGCUCCUGUGGAUCAGUGGCGAACGGGUGAGUAACACGUGAGCAAUCUGCCCUGGACUCUGGGAUAAGCGUUGGAAACGACGUCUAAUACCGGAUACGAGGCGUGGGGGCAUCCCCAACGCCUGGAAAGAAUUUCGGUCCAGGAUGAGCUCGCGGCCUAUCAGGUAGUUGGUGAGGUAACGGCUCACCAAGCCUACGACGGGUAGCCGGCCUGAGAGGGUGACCGGCCACACUGGGACUGAUACACGGGCCAGACUCCUACGGGAGGCAGCAGUGGGGAAUAUUGCACAAUGGGCGCAAGCCUGAUGCAGCAACGCCGCGUGAGGGACGACGGCCUUCGGGUUGUAAACCUCUUUUAGCAGGGAAGAAGCGAAAGUGACGGUACCUGCAGAAAAAGCACCGGCUAACUACGUGCCAGCCGCCGCAGUAAGAC
rnacentral:rRNA from 1 species